rnacentral:lncRNA from 1 species
CAUAUCCAACAAUUCUCCACCUUGCCUUUAAAUCGACGGUGAUCCGAUCAACCACCGUGCUGCUCUCUCCAUCUUGAACCUCUAUUCAAGAUCACCGGAUCGUACCUUCCUCUUCAUCCUCGGAAUGCCUUCCGCUCUCAUGAAGAUCUUGCAUCCCACUACCGUAGGAUUUUAGGUAGCCCCACAAGAUUCACCGCACCCUCUUCAGACUCCGAAGUGGUCAACUUCGUACCUCCCUGAAGAAACGCUUGUUCCCCACUAUCAUCGGCAUUUUAGAUAGCUCAACAAGCUCCACCAUCCCUCUUCAGCCCCCAGAUUGUGUCUUUUCCGUCCUCCUGAAGAAUCGCUUGCCUCUACAUCUCUACUCUCUUUCUCUCUCAAUCUUUC